rnacentral:rRNA from 1 species
GACGAACCACACAAACGUUAUUCGGAAUUACUGGGCUUAAAGGGUGCGUAGGCGGCGCGGAAAGUAGGGUGUGAAAUCCCUCGGCUCAACCGAGGAAUUGAGCCCUAAACUACCGUGCUCGAGGGAGAUAGAGGUGAGCGGAACUUAGGGUGGAGCGGUGAAAUGCGUUGAUAUCCUAAGGAACACCGGUGGCGAAAGCGGCUCACUGGAUCUCUUCUGACGCUGAGGCACGAAAGCUGGGGUAGCGAACGGG